AACGAACGCUGGCGGCAGGCUUAACACAUGCAAGUCGAACGCCCCGCAAGGGGAGUGGCAGACGGGUGAGUAACGCGUGGGAAUCUACCGUGCCCUGCGGAAUAGCUCCGGGAAACUGGAAUUAAUACCGCAUACGCCCUACGGGGGAAAGAUUUAUCGGGGUAUGAUGAGCCCGCGUUGGAUUAGCUAGUUGGUGGGGUAAAGGCCUACCAAGGCGACGAUCCAUAGCUGGUCUGAGAGGAUGAUCAGCCACAUUGGGACUGAGACACGGCCCAAACUCCUACGGGAGGCAGCAGUGGGGAAUAUUGGACAAUGGGCGCAAGCCUGAUCCAGCCAUGCCGCGUGAGUGAUGAAGGCCUUAGGGUUGUAAAGCUCUUUCACCGGAGAAGAUAAUGACG
rnacentral:rRNA from 1 species